rnacentral:rRNA from 1 species
CAAUAAGCGGAGGAAAGAACCAACAGGGAUUGCCUCAGUAACGGCGAAGUGAAGCGGCAUCAGCUCAAAUUUGAAAUCUGGCCUCGCGGCCCGAGUUGUAAUUUGUAGAGAAUGCUUCGGGCGAGGUCCGGUCUAAGUUCCUUGGAACAGGACGUCAUAGAGGGUGAGAAUCCCGUAUGCGACCGGUCGCCUCCGCCCAUGUGAAGCUUCUUCGACGAGUCGAGUUGUUUGGGAAUGCAGCUCUAAGCGGGUGGUAUAUUUCAUCUAAAGCUAAAUACUGGCCAGAGACCGAUAGCGCACAAGUAGAGUGAUCGAAAGAUGAAAAGCACUUUGGAAAGAGAGUUAAACAGUACGUGAAAUUGUUGAAAGGGAAGCGCUUGCAACCAGACUUGCGCGCGGCCGAUCAUCCGGUGUUCUCACCGGUGCACUCGGCCGCGCUCAGGCCAGCAUCGGUUCCGGCGGUUGGAUAAAGGCCUUGGGAAUGUGACUCCUCUCGGGGAGUGUUAUAGCCCUCGGUGCAAUGCAGCCUGCCGGGACCGAGGACCGCGCUUCGGCUAGGAUGCUGGCGUAAUGGUUGUAAGCGACCCGUCUUGAAACACGGACCAAGGAGUCUAACAUCUAUGCGAGUGUUUGGGCGUUAAACCCAUACGCGUAAUGAAAGUGAACGGAGGUGAGAACCCUUAAGGGUGCAUCAUCGACCGAUCCUGAUGUCUUCGGAUGGAUUUGAGUAAGAGCAUAGCUGUUGGGACCCGAAAGAUGGUGAACUAUGCCUGAAUAGGGUGAAGCCAGAGGAAACUCUGGUGGAGGCUCGCAGCGGUUCUGACGUGCAAAUCGAUCGUCAAAUUUGGGUAUAGGGGGCGAAAGACUAAUCGAACCAUUGCUAGGUGGUUGAGUGGGGAUGCGUCCCCAGCCGUGCCAGACGCGGCGACUCGGUCCAACUGCUCGGGCGCACGUCCUUACGUGCGACGAGAAGCAGCUCUCCGGAGCUGUUCACAGAUCAAGCGACUGGGGCCCUCGAGGAGGGUUAUGAAAUGAUCGGUCCGCCGCCGCGAGGCGACGGAGCAGACGCUAGUAGCUGUCU